UUUAAAUAUUUCUGCUCGAGCUUGGAGGCGUCAUUCUGACUCGAAGUUUAGGAAAGCACACAUUAAAGUUUGUGCAAAACUUCGCUUUAACGAAACGUUUUCGAAAUAAAAUCGUUAUGCCAUGCUGAGGGAAAGGUCAGUAUUAAAUUUAGCUAUUUUUUGAACGUUUUUGAGUUGUUCUUGUUAAGUUAUUGCUGUUUUUUAAAACACGUGUCUAUAUUCAUUGUAGUACGUAUUCAAUUUGAUUCCCAUUCAAGCGCUUCGUUUCAGCGCUGAGUCGCUUUAUUUUCUCAGUGUCUAUCCCUAAUUUCCUAGCAGUAAUGUUCAGAAAUACCCCAUCUUUGAUUCAUUUAACUCACAUUUAAUUUAUCUGCAAUUUCAGGGCGAAAAUUUGAAGAGAAAGUGAACUAAUUUAAGUCUCCAACAUGGUGGAAAUACCAAAGCACAUGGUAAGCAUAAUUAUUAACAUCCAUUAUAGGCGUUUCCUUCUUGUUUGUUUCUCGUUUUUAAGCUUCCCCAAUACACCUAGAACAUCCUCUAGCAUUGCUUUGUCGCCUUAUGAACACUCUGAGUCAAGUUUAGUUAAAUAUUGGUGAAACUUCUGUUCAUACCGAGCGAAUUGCAGACUUAUUUUAGGCAUGUUCAAUUUCACAUGCAGGGGGUGUGGCAUAUCAUUUUCGAACAUUUUAGCUUUUACAAACUUGUCGUUUUAUAUGUACAAAUUGUUCUCUGAGAGGGAAGGCUAAGCUUUUCGAGUUUCUUGAGGUUGUCUAAGUUGAAUUUCAUCGAAUAUUUUUACGAAUUUUAGAGAUGAAAAAUGUCCUCGUGGUUCAUGCCCUAAUUUUAUGCAUAGAUGCAUGCAUUCUUUAAAAUAUUGAAUUGGAAAACCACACCCUGUGUAAACGACAUUGAAUAACUCUUCGUUGUUUUGAAACUAAAAAUUCAUUGUCCAAUUUUUUUUAGACUGCCUCAAAGUCGAUAAUUUCGAUGGCAAACAGUACAGAAAGACCUCUGCGCAGAUUUGUAGAGGCGCUCGCCUAGCAGUCGAAGCAAAACGAGAAAGACAAGAAGGCAAAGGACAAAUGAGAACGUGCAGCCACCACCUCGAUUCCUUUUGCGAACCCACAGCAUUCAUUGUCAGAUUUCGCUUGUGCAAAGUUUGGACGAGAUUGCCACUCAUCCAGGGACAGUAACGAAAGCAGAUCACCCAUCAUCAGAUUUCGUUCAAUCGACCAAUUGUGAAUGAGAUGCAAAGACCUGGCAAGCGACAGUCGACGCCGUACCAUCCAGAGACCAUAACCAAUACGUCAUACCAUCGUGAAAGAUGUUCUACAUUCAGAAGGUAUUUUUCCUCGUGAUUCUCGUUGUGCGUGUUCGAAGUACGUGGGCCCACCCUGAGGACGCCCAAAUGCACAAAACAAAUUUAAAUGUGGCACAUUUUUCUUAAUUUCGCAAUUUAUUCAAAUUUUCUACACUUCUUGGUAUUUGUGAAAAGCUCUUAACGAAAUCAAAAUGUUUAAAAUUCGGAAGUUUCUAUCUGGGAGUUUGUUUAUUUGAAAGAUAUUAGAAAUGAAAUUUUGAAGUUUACAUCACUUUGGUAUUUGGUUUAAAUGCUAGGUAAAAUCAUGCCAGAGGAGUGGUCGACCAUUCGUCGAAGUUCGGUGAUACUUCGGCUCGGACUUUCCCGACCUACAGUUGAGUUGCUCUGAUCGAUUGUCGUGAUCAACUAGCGCAAAUGUAAAGUCUGGCCAACCUUGCGUUUGUGCUUUUUGUUCGUGGCAUGAGAUUGGGACAGCUCGCCUGUAGGCCUGGAAAGAUCAAGCGGAAGUACCACCAAACUUUGAUUUGUGGCCGUCUUUUUGUCUGAGUGGCUUUAUCCAGCGUUUUCCCGUUAUCAUUUUGCUGUUGACUUUGGGAUUUUGGCUUGACUAUCUUUAAUAUAAACAUUCUUUGAGGUUUAAUCUUUCAAGAAUUUUAUGGUUUUUGACUAGUUAAUGUGUUUCUCGCAGAUACUAUAAUUGUAUUAAAAAUAUUGACAAACAAAAAUUAAAACUGACCAAAACGUCAUUUUGAGGUGUCUGAUGGGAGGGCCAGUGGGAGUCGUAGCGGAUAUCAAUGGAUAAAUACGGAUUACUGUGACACUGUGUACUAUUGGAAAUAUUGUGAACAUUUAUGGAUAAUUGUGAACAUUAAAUGGAUAAAGAAACACUUACGAAUUAUUAUGAACAUUUGUGGAUAAAAUGUACCUCACGAUCGACGGUUACCUACCAAUGUACCUCGACAACGAAAGCUGCACGACGGCAACGAGAUGACUGUCUCAAGGUUAGAGGGUUUAGUCUGAUAACAAGCAGCUGUUAGCUUGUUAUCAGGCAGUAGUUAGCCUGCUAUCAGGCACUAGUUAGCCUGCUAACAGGCAGUAUAUCUGUACGAUUCAUACCCAGGACUCUAAUUUGCAUGUGGUCGGUAAAGUCUCUGGGUUAACCGGUUUAAAUUCCUGGCGGUCUGCGGUCAGUAGUACAUUUGCACGCAAGGUUGAUUUUUUAUUCAGAUGCUUGCAUGCUAAUAAGAAAUUGAGGUACCUUUUUGACCUCAGUUAAUCGGAAUUUCGACAUCAUCUGCAAUCGAAAGUCAAUCUUAAGAGGUUAACAUUUGAGCUUCCGGUCACGUGGUUCUUUGCAUGCACUCGGUUCGGUUAUUGGUGGGUUUCAGUAAGUGUUACAGUCCAGACGAGGGAGCAAUUUAUUUGCUUCAAAUACAAGACUACUACAUAAAAUGAAAAAGGGUAAACAUUAUUUUUUCACUCUAGUAACUCGUACUGAGACCCACUAGCUAUUUGCGGUCUGUUCGUGCUAAUGUUCUUCUCUUUGUGUAAAUGUACUGCUUAGGUGUCUCCGUGUCUGUGCAUGGAUAAACGCAGCGCGCAGCUAGUAUUCAGAGUAUAGGCAGACAAGUAAAACCGUGCCAGACUUAAAAUUUUGUUUAUAUCAAUAUGUUAUGUUCAUAAAUGUAUAGAAAUAUCAUGAAAUGUAUUAGAUUUUGGCUUGGGGUUAAAUCUAACCCUAUAACCUUAACCUUAAUUAAUUCAUUACAUGAUCUGUAUAUUUGUGUACGUAAAAUAAUGGUGUAGGCAAAAUUUUGUUGAAAAGCUGGCAUAGUUUUUCUUGGGUAGGAUAACUAAACUGGAUGCAAAUGGUAUCCAUAGCUUAGAGGGUGCAAAUGGUACCCGUAAGAAGAUUGGUGGAUAUCGUUGUGGACAAGAUUUUUUGAGAGAUGUGGAUUCUCGCCGGGUACUCCGGUUUCCACAAACAGAAAGAUCAGUUUAGGACUGUAAUAACACAAUUAUUGUAAUAAUAAAUAGUCUAGUAUAUUUCAUCGCCCGUAGUGCAUGUAUAUCGCUGGUUUCGAACGUUAGUUUUCUGCCCCGAGUUAUAUGAAAACAGUUCGCUACCAGAGAUUAGGUUCCCUCUCUGUUAUGGCGGCUCGACGAUAGAAGACAUUAACAUAAGGCAUGCAAACCUUACCCCUGUUUGUGGAAGCUCAUCAGGUGCAAUAGCACACUAGGUUAAGUUAAUUAAGCUAGGGGCAUGACCGAGACUCCACACUCGGGGGUUUCCCUUGCAGGUUUUUGAAAGUGUAUGUGUGCGCGCGCACUAGUUAGGAAGGUUAGGCAGCUAGAAAUAGGGCGUGCAUACUAUAAGGCAUGUAUAUACUGUAAUUCAGUAAUGUGAUACUUUUGCGCCAGUAACUUUCUGACAAGUAUUUAACACAACAGGAAAAUGGAUCUGUUUUCCUGCUGAAAAAUACUUACAGAACCAAUUCAAAGUGGAAAAAAGGAAAUAUUGCGAAAAAGAGAAAAAUAAAACAGAAAAAACCACUUUGAAUAUAAGCAACAAUAAUCCAAGAAUACUCAUCGCAGAAAAAAACAACAAAAAAGAAACGCUUUUCUGCCUAAAAUAUCUUGGAUUAGGAGCUUAAAGAUAAGAAACGUAGUUCUCGCUCCAAAGUGGAGAAGAGGCUCGUUUCUUUAGGUUGCUAAUGCAUUGCGCGUGCGCGUUUUAUAAAUUGUACUAUAAGUUUUCAGUUGAAAAGACCGCCAGGUAAUAGGGUGUUUUCACGUGUUGCUUUGUUGACGGACAAGUAUUUUAAAACAGUGGUUUUCUUGCUUACUUGUAUUUCGG